rnacentral:rRNA from 1 species
CCUACGGGAGGCAGCAGUGAGGAAUAUUGGUCAAUGGACGCAAGUCUGAACCAGCCAUGCCGCGUGCAGGAAGACGGCUCUAUGAGUUGUAAACUGCUUUUGUACGAGGGUAAACGCAGAUACGUGUAUCUGUCUGAAAGUAUCGUACGAAUAAGGAUCGGCUAACUCCGUGCCAGCAGCCGCGGUAAUACGGAGGAUUCAAGCGUUAUCAGGAUAUAUUGGGUUUAAAGGGUGCGUAGGCGGUCGGAUAAGUUAGAGGUGAAAUCCCGAGGCUCAACUUCGGGAUUGCCUCGGAUACUAUUCGACUAGAGAGUAGUAGCGGUAGGCGGAAUGUAAGGUGUAGCGGUGAAAUGCUUAGAGAUAAGACAGAACACCGAUUGCGAAGGCAGCUUACCAAGCUACUUCUGACGUUGAGGCACGAAAGCGUGGGGAGCAAACAGGAUUAGAUACCCCAGUAGUC